rnacentral:rRNA from 1 species
UCUGCAACCCGGCUACAUGAAGCUGGAAUCGCUAGUAAUCGCGGAUCAGAAUGCCGCGGUGAAUACGUUCCCGGGUCUUGUACACACCGCCCGUCACACCAUGGGAGUCGGAAAUGCCCGAAGUCUGUGACCCAACCUCAGGGAGGGAGCAGCCGAAGGCAGGUCGGAUGACUGGGGUGAAGUCGUAACAAGGUAUC